rnacentral:rRNA from 1 species
GAUGAACGCUGGCGGCGUGCCUAAUACAUGCAAGUCGAGCGAACAGACGAGGAGCUUGCUCCUCGGUCGUUAGCGGCGGACGGGUGAGUAACACGUGGAUAACCUAUCUAUAGGACUGGGAUAACUUCGGGAAACCGGAUCUAAUACCGGAUAAUAUAUGGAACCGCAUGUUUCAAUAGGGAUAGACGGUUUUUCUUUCACUUAUAGAUGGAUAAGCGCCUCAUUAGGUAGUUGGUAAGGUAACGGCUUACCAAGGCAACGAACGGUAGCCGACAUGAGAGCGUGGUCGGGCAGCCUGGAAGUGAGACAGGGCCCAGACUCCUACGGGAGGACGCAGUCGGGACUCUUACGCAAGGGGCCAAAGCCUGACGGUGCACAGCGGCGGGAGCCAUGAAGGUCUUAGGAUGGUAAAACUAUGUUAUUCGGGAAGUACAAAUGUGCAAGUAACUAUGCACGUCUUGACGGUACCUAAACAGAAAGCCACGGCUAACUACGUG